GUAAAAAUGUUCCUUCCCUCCAUAACUGGGAAGAAUCUACCAAUAUUUCUUGCUGCCAUUCUGCUGUUCACAUCUGACCUGAGGCAAUUGUCCAUGCUUAGGCAGGGUCACCCAAGCUAAGAUGCAGAGUGCUACAGUGUGCUAAACGCUAGACAAAAGCACUUUGCUGGGCGUGAUUUAUUGUAGCAACAGGCCUUGGCAACAGCUUAAGUCCAUAGUGAUGGUUUCUGUGAAAAACAGGAGGCUGAGCUCCCUGUUCUGCUUCCAAAGAAGCACUUGUCACAACAUGGGUUGCAGCACUUCCAGCAGGGCAACUGUCAAGGAACCAUCAUCCAAUAAUCCACAUCAGAGCAGAGAAGUCAAAAAGCAGGCUGAAAAUGAUCCACUUACUGGAAGAGUUAACACUUCCUCCCAAGGUGGGUCAGUUGCUGAAGACUAUUCCAGUGAAGGAAGGCUGCCAGACAGCGGUACAGGAAAGCUACCACCAGCUAAUGAACAAAAUACAGACAUACAUAGAGGUGGACUUUCCAAGAAACCAGUGAGCUUAACAGAAAGAGAAAGACAGACAUCAUCAGACAUAUUGGAGGAGCUUCGGAUGCAAGGAAUAAUCAAGACCACAAGUGCAAACUCUAAUAACAGAGCAGCAGAUGAUGCCACAUUGAUAGAUACAGGAAAUCCACCAAAGAAACCACCAGCCAAACUGGAAAAGCUUGAAAUCAAAAGGAAGCACAUAAUUUAACAAUAGAGGACUCUGAAAACAAGCCAUGUGUUGAAAAGAGAAGAAUCCACUAAUCUGACUACAUCAUUCUAGUAUCUGAAUACCUAACGAUCAAUAAUACAAGAGAAGAGCAACUGAAAAAGGAAUUGCUGACUGACAGACCAUCACCACUAACCUCCCAUGAAAGCAGAACUACAGGGAGUGACAUAGACUGUUCAGCUUCUGAAGCUGAAAAAACUUCUAAUACUUUUCAGUUGCUUUCCUUAAAUCUGGGUUCAGGAAGCUGGAUAGAGAAAGAAGACUGGGAUGAUAAUGUAAAUGGCAAUUUUGAAGGUUUCAGUAUCGUGGAGUCAGAUGUCACUUAUAAUAUGGUAAAUGAAGCAUUUUAAUCAGUACAAUUUAUUUCAAACAUAUUUGAGCUAUGGAAGUUAAAUCUCUAGGUUUUCACCUGCAUUAAAAUAAAUGUACUAAAAACCAAACAAAAACAUUUGUUUAUGGUUUAAUUUGAUAGGAUAUUUUCAAUUUCUUUCCCCACAGACAAAUAAGAA